rnacentral:rRNA from 1 species
GAAAGGCCAAUCAAACCGGGAGAUAGCUGGUUCUCCCCGAAAGCUAUUUAGGUAGCGCCUCGUGAAUUCAUCUUCGGGGGUAGAGCACUGUUUCGGCUAGGGGGUCAUCCCGACUUACCAACCCGAUGCAAACUACGAAUACCGAAGAAUGUUAUCACGGGAGACACACGGCGGGUGCUAACGUCCGUCGUGAAGAGGGAAACAACCCAGACCGCCAGCUAAGGUCCCAAAGUCAUGGUUAAGUGGGAAACGAUGUGGGAAGGCACAGACAGCCAGGAUGUUGGCUUAGAAGCAGCCAUCAUUUAAAGAAAGCGUAAUAGCUCACUGGUCGAGUCGGCCUGCGCGGAAGAUGUAACGGGGCUAAACCAUGCACCGAAGCUGCGGCAGCGACACUAUGUGUUGUUGGGUAGGGGAGCGUUCUGUAAGCCUGCGAAGGUGACCUGUGAGGGUUGCUGGAGGUAUCAGAAGUGCGAAUGCUGACAUAAGUAACGAUAAAGCGGGUGAAAAGCCCGCUCGCCGGAAGACCAAGGGUUCCUGUCCAACGUUAAUCGGGGCAGGG